UUCACCUUCUUGUAUAAGCACUGUGCUAAAAUUGCAGGAACUAAGAUUCUAUCUUGGUUUUUGUAAUAAUGCUAGCAGAGUACACACAAGAAGAAAAGUAACUGCA
ensembl:miRNA